rnacentral:rRNA from 1 species
GACGAACGCUGGCGGCGUGCUUAACACAUGCAAGUCGAACGGAAAGGCCCUGCUUUUGUGGGGUGCUCGAGUGGCGAACGGGUGAGUAACACGUGAGUAACCUGCCCUUGACUUUGGGAUAACUUCAGGAAACUGGGGCUAAUACCGGAUAGGAGCUCCUGCUGCAUGGUGGGGGUUGGAAAGUUUCGGCGGUUGGGGAUGGACUCGCGGCUUAUCAGCUUGUUGGUGGGGUAGUGGCUUACCAAGGCUUUGACGGGUAGCCGGCCUGUGAGGGUGACCGGCCACAUUGGUACUGAGAGACGGCCCAGACGCCUACGGGAGACAACAGGGGGGAAUAUUGCACAAUGAGCGGAAGCCUGAUGCAGCAGCGCCGCGUGCGGGAUGACGGCCUUCGGGGUGUAAACCGCAUUCGCCUGUGACGAAGCUGGAGUGACGGUAAUGAGUAAAGAAGCACCGGCUAACUACGUG